rnacentral:rRNA from 1 species
GACGAACGCUGGCGGCGUGCUUAACACAUGCCAGUCGAACGGAAAGGCCCUGCUUUUGUGGGGUGCUCGAGUGGCGAACGGGUGAGUAACACGUGAGUAACCUGCCCUUGACUUUGGGAUAACUUCAGGAAACUGGGGCUAAUACCGGAUAGGAGCUCCUGCUGCAUGGUGGGGGUUGGAAAGUUUCGGCGGUUGGGGAUGGACUCGCGGCUUAUCAGCUUGUUGGUGGGGUAGUGGCUUACCAAGGCUUUGACGGGUAGCCGGCCUGAGAGGGUGACCGGCCACAUUGGGACUGAGAUACGGCCCAGACUCCUACGGGAGGCAGCAGUGGGGAAUAUUGCACAAUGGGCGGAAGCCUGAUGCAGCAACGCCGCGUGCGGGAUUACGGCCUUCGGGUUGUAAACCGCUUUCGCCUGUGACGAAGCGUGAGUGACGGUAAUGGGUAAAGAAGCACCGGCUAACUACGUG